CUAGGUUGAGAAAUAUUACCGAAGACAGUAGGUGGCGAGUGCCUUAAUUUCCUACCGAGGAUGAAUAUGUGAGAACAUACGAUUAUCCCUCUAUGUCUAAGGUGACAUAGAGUUUUUUGCAUUUAUAG
rfam:Carnobacterium inhibens subsp. gilichinskyi strain WN1359, complete genome.